GCAGCGGCAAAAUCCGUUGCCGAGAUUGGCGUCUCGGAAAGAGUCUUGGAGCCGACCCAUGCUCUUGCGUGGUUUUU
rnacentral:sRNA from 1 species